CAACAGAGUACAUUAUGGUGGUAGACAUUAACAGGCAGUACAACAGAGUACAUUAUGGUGGUAGACAUUAACAGGCAGUACAACAGGGUACAAUAUGGUGGUAGACAUUACCAGGUAGUACAAAAGGAUAACAUAUAAUGGAGGAGACUGCCAACCAGAAAUAUGUAAAGAUACACACCUUUGGUGACAAAGAAGAUGUUUGAACCACUGGAUCUGUUUGAGAUCUACGAAGUUUACGUUCAACCAGGGGGGUGAUCACAGGAGCACUGCCAUGGCGAGGAGGUAGCGGUGGCUUGCUUGGUCGUGGUGGUAUUACAGGAGGAGGAGUUCCAGGACUCGACUCAACUGAGUAUUUCGGAUCAUUUUGAUCCUGAGAAAGGAAAAAUAUGGUUGAUGACUUUUAUUCAGGUAAAAAUCAUCCGUCAUUAAACUAAAAAAGUUUCGUAAAAAUAAAAAGUUUCAAAUCUCA